rnacentral:rRNA from 1 species
GACGAACCGUGCGAACGUUGUUCGGAAUCACUGGGCUUAAAGGGCGCGUAGGCGGGCAAUUAAGUCCGUGGUGAAAUACCUGAGCUUAACUUGGGAACUGCCAUGGAUACUAUUUGUCUUGAAUGUCGUGGAGGUUAGCGGAAUAUGUUAUGUAGCGGUGAAAUGCUUAGAUAUGACAUAGAACACCUAUUGCGAAGGCAGCUAACUACGCGAAUAUUGACGCUGAGGCACGAAAGCGUGGGGAUCAAACAGG